GAAGGUUCGGUGCCCCCGAGGAGCCAUGCCCAGCUGGCGGAGCCGGGCCCGGCAGGCGGACUGUUCUGACGGGCGUCCCACGGGGAGGUCUGGUUUAAGGCAGCACUGAGUAAUCUCAUUUUUCACACGUCUUCUGUAGUCACUACCAGCCCUGUCAGAGGAAAGGAGUUGCUUCCUGUUAUUUCCGUUGAAAUAGUUGUCCUGACCAUUAGCAGGCAGGCUUUUCAGGAUGGCACUUUGCAGACAGACCGGCUCUGGCAGGCUCUGCCCUGGGCUCCUGCUGCUGCUGCUGCUCUGGGCAGCUCUCGGGAGCGAGCUCCGUCCCGCAGGCACCGCCACCCCCCCAGGAGCCAACGAGUCUCUGGCUGAGCUCCAGAACCAGAUGGUGAUUGAGCCUGAGAACCUGCUCCUCAGCCUGACUGCGGAUGAAAAGUACAAUCUGAGAGCCUACAUGUGCUGGGCCAAUUUCAGUCUCUGGAUGAUGAACGUGACCAGGGUGCAGCUGUGUGAAUGGAGAGUCAUCAGCAGGCCAUACAGCAACCUCCGCCACUGCCUGGAGACCUUCGCAGAAGAACAGAAUUACAGCUACCCCAACAGCAUCGCCGAGGAGUGCAUUGUCCACAGCCACCGCACCUACUUCCUGAACUGCACCCAGGAGCACCCCACGUUCCUCGACCCACCGGAGGACGUGCUGCUGGCCCUCAUCUUCGCCCCCAUCUGCCUCAUCCCUUUCCUGGUCACCCUGGUGGUGUGGAGGAGCAAGGACGGCAAGAUGCAGUCCUGAGCGCCGCAGGGCUCCAGGCUGCCAGAGGCAUCGCCAAUGUGUUAGAGAACCAGACCUGGCUCAAACCUCUGACCCAACCUGACCUUGCCCCACGGGUGCUCCACCCCUACCUCUGCAGCACUCGCUUCCGGCUGGGACUGGAACCACUGCUCUGCUCCCACCACUUCCAAGAGCCGGCAGGGGCUCCAUCUCGCAGGCCUGACUGCCAGGCCCAACACUUUGGAGACACUUGGAGAACCAGCCCAGAGCGGCCCCCUCUGAGCCCCUGGAGCAUCCUCCAUCUCUGGCUGAACGCCCAGGGUUUGUACCCGCUCAAAUGAGGUUACAGCGCUGGGCUUCCAAUCCCAGGCCUCUGACACGGGCAGGAGGAGAGAGCCCCGUGGGCGACUCUGCUCUGGGUCUCACGCCGACGUAACCCCCUGCUGGGGUCCCACUCGCAGCUCACCACAGCUUAACAGGUGCAACCCCCUCCAGGAAAAGGGCUCUGCUGAGUCCUAGCAGCCCCAGCGCUCCUGUGUCGGUCCCUGAGCUGCACUGAGCAGCUGGCGGGGGAAGCCCGGGUGGACUGACUUACUGAGCGGCUCUAGUUCCAUGCGAAGAGGGGUCUCGUCCUCCAGAGAACCCCCUCCCCUCACACAGCUGCUUUGCCUUCUAGGCCUCACCAGCAAGCAGAGGUUGCUGUGCAGGGCUGGCGUCGUGGCUGCAUGAAGGGGGCCCCUCGCCAAGAAAGCCUUGUGUUUCAGGACAGGACGUCGUGCCAGGGCAGUGGGUUUCCCCUGCCCUGUUUAUGGGGCUCUGACGCCUGGGGCAGGCUCCCUCGCCAUGUGACACCAGAGGCUGCGUGCCUCUUUUACUGGCUUUUUCUGAUCCCCUUUGAAAACAGGCUCCCUGGUUAACCAGCUGGAGAUUAAAGACCUUCCCUUCCCGAGCCCCAGCGCGUCCUUUCACCAUUCGGUUUCUUGCCUUGGCUCCUGCAGACACGUGGGAAUUAGAGACAAACCCCUGCCCUUCCCCCCCACCAGCUGGGCAGUGCCCCCCUUGGUGCCCGGGGCCACAGUCCCACCGGGAGUUGGCUGCAACUUGAUUCUGUCUCCCCUUCCAUUUGUGGCACUAAGCAGGGACUCGGGGCCUGUCAUAGGAUCCUCCAGGGCCAGUCGGUGGCUUACAGGCCUCUUGUCCCAUGGCACGUUGCUGGGUGACAUGUAGGCCCCGUGAUUCCCUCUCUUGGAUAACAACACUGAGUCCAGCGACUUGCCCGGCGAGCUGCCAAUGACCUCGUCGGGCAGGGGGCUCCCUGAUUGCCUU